CUUUGCCAGUGAGACUUAUUUCAGCCUCCAACAUAGUCAACUCUUGGGAACCCCCAGUCACCCCAUGAAUAUAAAUUGAUUUUGUUCCUUGGUGACUCGAGGGCAUUAGCAUACACUGUGCACCAGUGUCUACCAGUGCCUUAAAUUUCUGUGGUUUUGAUGUGCCAGGCCAUGUAAUCCACACAGUCCAAUACACUCUAUUAUCCCUUUCCCCCUCCUGGCUGGGGGCAGGGCCCCCCUAUUUGUUACCUUGGUUGUCCGCAGCAACUGGAGUGAUCACCCUUUUGGAGGACUUCACCUUGGUAGUUGAUCUGUCUUGUAAUUCUUUUAUCUGUGCUUGAAGCACAGAAGUGGGUUUCUUAUGUCACUUCUUCAUAUCUUCUCCAUGGUCACGCAGGUAACGCCACAAGGCAAGACGUGUUAUAGUCUUACCGUUAUCAUUUCCUCUAGCAGGAGGAAGUCCCCUUUUGAUGGCUGAGAUGUUGGAUGAUGUAGGUCGGGAGGACAGCAAGUUGAUCAGCUCUUCCAGUGGAGGGUUUUGGGAAUUCUGGUCCUCGUCCACUAUGGAUCCAUCAGCAUCACAUAUGGUAGACUGUUUGUCUAUUAUAUAUCUUCUUGUUUGCUCUCCAUUCUGUCUAGCUUUUCAACUAUCCUUGUGAUGGCUGAAACACAAGCUCGUAGAGGAUUUAAAUGCAACUCAAAAUCAUCUAUAAGGGGUCUUCUUUCCCCUCUGCCAUACAUUGCUGCAAAUGUACUGGCAUACCUUUCUGGUGCAGUCUUAGUGAAUGUGAGCCACAUAUUUGGUGUACACCGGACUCUCUCAGGAUCAUGCUCUUGGUCUGGCUCGUCAGGGAGGAAGUCGGGGCUGUAUAUCAUUUCCACCACGGCACAUUCUCUCAAAUAACGGAUGCCUUUUUCCAUAUCGGUCAAUUUCCUUUUCUCAGGCAUGAGAUCAUCUUUAAAGGGGUGUUUUUCUCUCAUGGCUAACAACAUCCGCUUCCAGAGGGUGAAGGCCUGGUUCUGGAAUGUGCUAAUAUGUCUGUCAAUGGCUGAGUCCCUAGCAAUGCCACGAGCUGACGAGCUUCUCUGCUAUCUAGCCACACACUGUUGGCCCCACUGUCCCUGCAUCAAAGUAACCAGGUGACAAUAGGCUCACUGGGGUGGUGUGUGAAGUCCUUUCUCUGACCACAAAUUUCGUUCAUUUUCAAAGAUCUAUCCACAAUGGUUACAAUGGCUCACCUCCUCCUCUUUCAGGACUUCCUGCCCUCCUUGGUGUUUGUGCAUGCAGUCUUAUUGAGGGCAUGGGCACUCCAGUUCCUUGGUGCCACUCCACUGGACCUCUUUCCUCCUCUUCUCUUACAUCGCCUGCUUCCUCUACUUCACCCUCCUCCUCUUCUCUUACACUGACUGCUUCCUCUACUACACCCUCCUUCUCUUUCUUCUGUUCUAACUGAGUGGAAAUUCAUUUCAUUUUCUGUC
ensembl:lncRNA